rnacentral:rRNA from 1 species
UACGAAGGGGGCUAGCGUUGCUCGGAAUUACUGGGCGUAAAGAGCUCGUAGGCGGUCUGUCGCGUCGAAUGUGAAAACCCGGGGCUCAACCCCGGGCCUGCAUUCGAUACGGGCAGACUAGAGUUCGGUAGGGGAGUCUGGAAUUCCUGGUGUAGCGGUGAAAUGCGCAGAUAUCAGGAGGAACACCGGUGGCGAAGGCGGGACUCUGGGCCGAUACUGACGCUGAGGAGCGAAAGCGUGGGGAGCAAACAGG